CUGUUUUAAACCUCAGACAUAAAUGUGACAACAUUUGAUCUUGUAGGUGAUGCGGCAGAUGAUUCCUUGAUGCAAACUCUGAUGCUGCUCUAAUCGUAUCUCUCUGUGGCACCCAAAGAGAGCAUUUUGUUGCAGAUGAGUGAUAAAUUGACCAGUAGAAGAGGCAUAAGGUGAGAGCACUAACAAAAGUUUUGGUGUGGCUGGUCCAGUGAACCACAAGGUUUGUCAUGUUUCCAAUGAUGUAUGAUGUUAAUCCCAAAUUGAAAAGCAUGAACACAGUAUCAAACAGCAUCUCCCCAGGGUUUUGAGCAUGUAAAUCCCCAUAGCCAGUAGUGGUAAGUGUUACAAUGGACCAGUAUAUUGCAGUCACAUAUCUGUCCCAAAGACUUUCUUCUUUGAAAUUUGGGUGCGUUGCACCAAUCCAGGUCCUUUUGGAAUCAGGAUACUUCUCUGCAAUUAGAUAGCAAGAGCAUCCAGCACAGUGUAUGGCAAACAUUGUUACCUGAAAUUUGAUGGAGGCGGUAAUCGAUAAGUCAACCAAUAAAUAUAAUAAAGUUUAUAUCAAGUCGCUCUAUUCCCAAGCUGUAAAUAGAAUUUUAUGAAUAGUGUGACUUAUUCUUCAAAGUCUGUGCAAUGUACAAGGAAACACGUUUAUCUCAAUCAAUUGAAUUUGGAAAGGAAAGAUAUGAGCUUUAGUGGCUUACAGCAAUGAGUUUUAUGCACCUGGUCCAGAAAUAGUUAAAGCGGAUGUCUUUCUCAAUUCUGUAAGAAAGUAAAGGAGCAAGUAAGAACUGUGAUAUUCUUAUGAUUGGAAUUUUGAGGUGUUGCAGAAGACUAAAUCACCAGAAGCAUAAGUUUGGUAUGAUGAUGAACCUUGCAAACAGAGAGCUAACUCGUCUCAGACGCCAUAACCGAAGCAUGUUAAGCAGGUCAACGCCAAGCUCACUGCUAUGGUUUGUGAAGAAAAGGCUGAUGAUCUGAAAUGGUGCUGUUGAGCAGACAUCAAAAAUAAACCAGUGAUCAUCAACAAGAAGGUGAGACUGACUAUCUAAAUAUGCAACAAAGAAUGUGAGCAUGAUGUCGAUGGCAAAGAAACCAUCAACAACGUUGUCAAUAAUGAACAGUGCAUCUUGCUUUGAAGGCAGGAAGGCAAACUCAAAGGGGCAUAUCCAGGCUGAGUAAAUGACUAGAACUACCAGUAUCAUCUCCCAAGCCCUGUAAAUAAUGUGCAUGAGAAGCAGCAAUCAAAGUAUCAUAAGAAUUAUGAUUAUCAUGCACAUGCAUGUGCUCGUGCACACACACUGUCUCUGUCUAGGCUCUAAAGAGUUUAUCACCUAUAUCUCGGAUCGAAAGGGGAGAUUAUGUAUCUUCGGAGUCUGAUUUCCUGCACCAUUUGAGCUCCAAGAGAUGGCAGAAGAUCACUAGACAGGAAGUUGCUAUGAGAAAAACUUCCCAUAUUGAUUUCAUCUAACCAGAACCUCUGAAAGAAGUUCUUUGCACAGGAAAAUGACAUAUUCUGAGUUUGCAUCCCUCAAGACUGUAGAAGAAGCAGUUAAUAUAAUGGGUUAGGCUUAUUUGCUUUUAUAUAGUGGGAAUGUAUUGGUAGGGAAUAAGCAGGAAGCACAUGCAGCUAGUGCAAAAUAAAGGGUUGAGAAUGAAAAGAAUGUGGGAAAAUGAUGGAGCCGUAGAAUUAAAGAAGGAGGCUUUUUGAAGUGCAGUUGCAGAGCAUUUGUGUGUAUGAGAAGGGCAUGAAGAAGAAGAAGAUACAUAUAAAUGGUGUUUCUGGUUGUACAUAUUGUGAUGGUAACAAUUGCAGUUACAGCAUCAGUAUAUAUAGACUUUGUUUUGCAAGUACUGAUUUCAUGGUGAUAUGUUAUUAGUAUUUUGAUUUCAAAUCCGAAAAUGGAGCAGACGCCAUUUUAGAGUAGGUAGGGAUUCAAUAUAUGGGUGACACGUGGACCAUUAAGGUUUUAUGGUAGAGGUUGUAACACAUGUGCAACUAACAAGAAAGUGAGAAACCCAUUUUUAACUCGUUUUCUCUUUGAUCUUUAUUAAUUAGACUGAACAUAGGAUGCUUGUUUAUGAACCAUAAGUAUUAUGAAGUUUACUCACUCCAUAAACUCUCUCUCUCUCUCUCUCUCUUUCUCUCUCUAAUUUUUGACCAGGUUUGAAUCGGCCGACAUUUAAUUCUUCCUAUUCUCAUCGACCUUACUUUGGUUGUGCGGCCCACGUAUGAUUUAGUUGUUGAUGAUAAUCAUUGCUUACAGAAUCUCUAUUGAGAGGGCAUCCUUAUUUAUAUUUGUUUUUCAGAUUUUGCUGUUCUUCUGGUGCCAAUACCUUCGCCCGUUAAGUGGGUUAUAAUAAUUCAUCCAAACCCAAAGUCAUCCUGUACUGUUUUAUUAUUACACUUGAAGGUGUCGGCCAGGUUUUUGACUUCAAAUCAAACCAUCUUAAUGCACUUAGGAUGUUAUUUCCGGAUACUUUUUAGAGGAAUGAAAUUUAAGUUGAUAAGGAAAGAGAUUUUCUUUUAUUCUUUCCUUUUUUUUAUAUUGAGCAUCUAAUAUCUUGAGCUUGCCUCAUUUUAAGUUGAAGGGACUUUAACGAGAGCCUAAACUAAUCUAUAUCGAGGUGAGUGAGGAUCUUUUGGGUGGAAGUUCUGUCAACAAUGCUGAUGUAUUACACAAACUUAAAC